GUUUGCAGAUUAGAUUCACAUGAAGACUUAGCUCCCUCUCUGCUCCUGCUAAGUCUAAGGAAUGCAAAUUUUGCCUUUGCAAAAAUUAACAUCAUGCUCCUAGCAAGAAAGCAGGUGACAAGCUCAGCAGCUCUGCUUCAGUUUGUUUUUCUCCAUGGCAGGAACAUGUGCCCCUGAGUGGGCACUGUUAGUGGAAUCGGUAGGAACGCAAAUGCAAAGGCAGGGAGAUAAAGGUGAGUCAGGAAGGAGAAAGCGGCACUUGGGGGCAGAACAGAACACCAAAAAAGCCAGGUGAUGGAAACAAGGCAAACCAUCAUUAGCCCAAGUUAACAGAAGCAAGUUGACUCAUGCAGCCGUGGGAAAAGCUAAGGUUGCUUGCAUGGACAUGGUGAGUCAUCUAAUGUGUAAGUCAAGCUACCAGCUAUAAUUAAUCUUGUACGUGGACACAAAGUCGAGUAUUUUGAACAUGAGCUAAUGAGAUUGACCUGUAGGAUCAUGCAGCUCUAACAGCUGAGUAGGCAAAUCAAGGAUAAAGGAAAAAGCUGGGGGUGCCCUUGGGCAGUCCCUUUCUUUGUGGCCUGUGCAUUUGCCUGUGUGGUGCUCUCUGUGGGAUGCAGGCUGAGCUGGAUGAAAUUUGCCCCACCCACGCUGCCCUCAAGUUGCUCCUUAUUUAUAGUACUAUUCCAGGAGGAUGUCUUCUGCAGUACAAGUACGAAAUCCAUCAGCUCAUUUGAUAUGUUAUUUGACUUCUGAGAUACCACCAGCAAUAAUUCUGAGGAUGUUGUACCAUUGGAUAACAUCAGCUACCAUCUAUCAUCUAAUGACAAUUUCCUUUCCAUAACUGUCGGGGUCCGGCACGUCUGCCAGGGGACUACCGACCUGCGGGAGUCCCCGAGACCGCCAACAUAGAUGUCUCGUUCAACCUGAGAGAGAGAGUGUGUGGAAAAGAAAGAACAUAGAAAAGUAGAGUCUGGAGGGCUGCAUGAAGAUUAUGGCCAAAACGCAGCAAAUUUAUUUUUGUGGGUUACAGCUUUUAUACCUUUUGUCUUGUUUACAUUUACCUUAUCUCAGCAGAAAGAAACAAAGGGGAAGACAGAAAGGAAACAGAAACUCCAUAAAAUAGUUAUCAGGGGCUUGUGAUAUCCUGCUCAGAAGGCAGUUUAAGGGGGCUAGUGGUAGUAGUUUACAUUUCAAUGAUUUUACAUUUCAAAGAUACAAUGGCGCCCUUAAGGUGGCUAGUUAAACCUGUUUUUCAUCAGGAGCUAAAACAAAGGCUUGGCUCCAGGGAAAAUAUGGGCAGAGGUCUCUGCUCCUCUUAGGCAUUUCAAUUGCAGCAAGUUUAUUGCUUACACAGAGACUGAAGGGGGACAUGGAAACAGACAGCACAAUGUCCUCAUAAACUGCAGGCCUUUGCUUUGCAUUCUGUUGUUGCUUUUAGUGAGUCAGCUCACGGCCCUGUCUCACUUGACAGCCCUCGAGGUGAGGAAAUGCAGUACAGGUCCAGCAGCCAAACUGGGGCAAGUCAACUAGCUGUCUCGAGCCCUUGGCGCGAACACCACACGUAACUGCCUGGCUCUGAGAGCCAAUGCCCUGUAUUUUAAGUUUUCUUUGUUGGUUGGUUUUUCUUUGUUUUUGGUAGUACUCCAUUUCUGGUGGCAAUUUUGUAUUAUGUAGCAUUUACUAUGACAUGCUGUUGUAACAACCAAUCUAAAAGCCUCAGUAAUGUAUAGCAAUCAAGUUUUAUUGUUCAGUUACCUUACCUAUUGGCUGUGGGUGAGCUGUGGUUCUGCUCUUGUGUUUUCUCGUUCUCAGAUCCAGGCUAAGUCCAGCUUUUCACUGAAUUUGCCAAUUACAUAACAGAAAAUAGCAAUGGCCAAUGUAUUCAAUUGGCUUUUAAAACUUCAGCUCUAAAGUAACACAUAUCACUUCCCCUCAUAUUCACUGCAAAAGCAAAUCAAAUGGACAAACCAUGGCCCCAUGAUGUCAAUGUGGCAGAGAAGUACAAUAUAAUCCUCACACAGGGAAGGCAACAAACAAUUGGGAACAAUAGUAUAAUCUACCACAGCAUUUCAUCAUUUAGAAUAUUUGCUAUUGCUUUCCAUGCAUAAUCUUUAUCAUGAAGUGUGUACAUGUGUGUGCAUGUAUAUUUUAAAAGAUAAUUGCUGAGUUUAUCCAAACUCUUCACACUAUCUAAUGAUAUAAAACAGUUGUCCACUUUUAUUGAUACAAUAUUUAUAAUUUUUCCUAUACUUAACUACUCUUGAAUUUCUAAAAUACACUAUACUCAGUAAGUGUGGAUUAUUCUCUUGGUAACCCAGUGAAUUCUAUUUAAUAAAGUAUAACAUUUUUGCUUCUAUAUUAAAUAUAUAGAAGCAAUUUUUGCUUCAUUUUUCUAGUAUGAUUGGUUGGUAAUGUUCUUUUCUGGUUCAGUUCCAGUUUAGUUAUUAAAUUAUGGUAGUUUCAUAUGAAUUGGGAAAUUUUUAAUCUUUACUUGUAUAAAUUACAAUUUACCAGAAUUCUCUAUUCUUAAAGCUACAACUCAGGUUUGAAACUACCUGAUCCUGAGGACUCUAACGUAAUAGCGUAUUAACUAUCUAUUCCAACCUUUUGGUGGCAAAUGAACUCUUAAAGUUUUCUACUCCUUGGGUCACUUUUGAGAACUUAACAUUUAUAAGAGAAUCCUUUACUAUAGGUUUUCAAAUUUAUUGUCAAAGAGUUGCACAUACAUUUUAUUAUAAUAUGUUUUAUUUUGAGAGCUUGUUUGGAGGUUCAAGCAGGGAGCGCAGUUACUCAUAUACCCUUGACCAAAGUCCUUCUCUAUCAGGGAUGGUCAACCUCUUCGACUGAGCAUGCAGCUUCAGGAGGAAAUCACAUGUAGUAGUGAGGAAGGAAUGGGACACCUGCCUAGCCAGCCAGAUCAGCAACC
ensembl:lncRNA